rnacentral:rRNA from 1 species
UACGUAGGGUGCAAGCGUUGUCCGGAAUUAUUGGGCGUAAAGAGCUCGUAGGCGGUUCGUCGCGUCGGCUGUGAAAACCUGAGGCUCAACCUCAGGCCUGCAGUCGAUACGGGCGGACUUGAGUACUGCAGGGGAGACUGGAAUUCCUGGUGUAGCGGUGAAAUGCGCAGAUAUCAGGAGGAACACCGGUGGCGAAGGCGGGAUCCUGGGCCAGUACUGACGCUGAGGAGCGAAAGCGUGGGGAGCAAACAGG